UAGGGAGAGAGGGUGUGUGUAAGCUAGAGCGAGCUGGACGGUGUGUGUGCGCGUGCAUGGAUCAUACAAACCGGAUUAAAGCUCAAACGACUGGAGGCUGGAGACUUUGAGGGCUGGUCGCUGAGAAAUGUUUUCCCCUCCAGCAUGCCGUGUGACCUCUCAGUGAUUCUCGCAAUACCACAGGAUGGCUGCGGUCCACUGUCCCUCUGAGGCUCCACUGGAGUUUCCGGUGUUGGGGUGAGGGCCUCCGUGUCUGUGCCCGAGUGUGAUGCACUGGGCCGCUCCUUGAUGAGGGCCCUGGCCCAUAUGGAUCUUCAUCACUUGGGCCAGAAUCUAUAUUCAACUGCACCUCUGUGGGCUUAGAAGCUUCGAACAAAAGGCUGUUCCCUGCCAUACAACAACAGUGAUUGAGAUGAUACCAGUGCUCCUUACCUUCUACUCUUACUGCAGUUGUGGUUGCCAACACCAGUGUUGUAUAAAGUACCCAAAAGCCAUACUUGAGUAAAAGUAGAGGUAUUUUGUUAGAAAAUGACUCAAGUAAAAGUUAGUCAACCAUUAUAAUUCUACUUGAGUAAAAGUCUUAAAGUAUCUGAAAUAAACUGUACUUAAGUAUCAAAAGUAGUAUUUUCAUGAAUGUAUUCAAGUAUGGAAAGUAGAAGUAAAUUAAUAAAAAAAAGCAAGACUUUGUCCUGCACACUUGCAGGGUCCGCUGUUUGUAGCGGAUCAAUCGACCCGCGUGAUUUGGCACAGCUUUUACGCCGGAUGCCCUUCCUGUCGCAACCCUCCCAUUUUUAUCCAGGCUUGGGACUGGCACUGAGAGUCAACUCUUCAGCAGCUGGGGUGGCGCCCUGCCCAGGAAUCGAACCCGGGCCGCAGCAAUGAGAACGCGGGAUCCUGCCGCUGGACCAUCAGGAGGCCAAGACUGUAAUAAUUUGGAGAAUUAUGAAUUUUAUUCUGUAUUGCUUUCUUUCUUAAACUUCUCAAUAAGUGCACCAAAAAAAUAAGACUUGCAUGAAAUAAAGAAGAGGCCUUUAGAACUGUAUUGUAAUGAACUGUACAGUAUCAGUGUUUCCAUACAUGUGCGCUUGUAACUAAGGCCAUGUCCACACGUAGCCCGGGAUUUUUAAGAAGGGAGAUUUUUCUCUGCAUUUUGACCUUUCGUCCACAUGCUAAUGCAGUUUGAGAACAGUUUGAAAACAGACCUUUUGGAAAACUUCUGCCAAAGUGAAGAUUUUCCAAAACUCACCGUUUUCAGUGGUGUAGUGUGGACAGGGGAAGCGGAGAUUUUGAUGAAUUGACAUCAUUGUCUGUGUGCCGGUCUCCUUGAUUUGAGGUCAGCUUUGUUUAUGAAGAUAUUUUGUGCAAUAGCAGACUUAUGUGAACUACUGACUGUGUUAACGUUGUUUACUGGACUUUUUACAUGCGUGCACAUACACGCGCGGUUACUCAUACAUUACGGUCAUACAAGAUCUGGAAUGUAAUUACGGAGCUCACUGCUGUUGCAUACAAAACUCCGAUAACGCAAACAGCGAUGGAGGUUUUGGAUGAGACCUGGUUGGACUUCUACAUUCUACAAUGAAAUUUUUGCAUGUCAAGGACAUCGCUUUCAUGCGACGCACCAUUGUUGUUAAACUACCAGAACCGGUAAUAAAGUUUUACCCAGCUACAUGUGAACAUAGCCUAAAGUCAUCACUAACCACAAACUUCCUUUACCGCAAAUUUGGAAGCAGGUUUUUUUUUGUAGUAAGUAACGAAAAUGCCAAACAGAAAAUGUAUCGGAGUAAAAGUAUAGAAUUUGUUUCAAAAAAAGUAGUGAAGUAAAAGUUGACAGAAAUAUAAAAACUCAAGUAAAGUACAAAACCUCUCAAAAAAUACUUAAGUACUGUAACGAAGUAAUUUUACUUUGUUACAUUACACCACUGGCCAACACCACCUUAAAGGGACACCUUCAUGGUGUGGUUCCUUCAAAUGCUUUUACUUGUUUACUCUGAUAUAUAUAUUUCUUAUGUUCUAUAAAGUUGCUUUGAGACAAUUUCCAUUGUUAAAAGCACUAUACAAAUAAAAUUGAAUUGAGUUGAUAUAGAUGUAGUCUCUGGGUUCUACAUCCAGAAGUGGAUCCUCCACCCAUGUGCCAUGAGUUGCUUGGCAAACCUGUGAAUACAGAGUUCUUUGGAUUUGGGUUCAUAUGUUUUACAUAACUUGACCUUGAGCUGUUUCAAGGAGGGGCUGUUAUAAGGUGCCCUUGUGAAGGCUACUGGCAUAGUUGACUGGCCUGUCAACAUCUCAUGUGGGGUUAGAUGCAUAUUUCAAUUUGUUUGCGACCACAUUUUUACAACAGCAACCUUUUGAGCAAAUAAUAGGUCCGUGUAGUUUCUGAAUUCCUUAUAGACUUAUUUCUUCCUGCCACAAGCAGAUUGAUGCAACAGCAGUUCAUAGACAGCUUGAAAGUCUCCAAGUGGUUCUGUCCACAGCAGGCCCCUGGGUCACAGGCUGUCCAUGCAGAUCUAUCCCCAGCAGCAUUGAGCACCACCAAGAGACAAAACUCCAACCUGGGUUAGAGCAUCUGGAUGAAUCAGGCAGGUCCAGAAAGAAGUGAUCACACUGGAAACUCAGAACACUGGGAGCCCAGGAGUGGGACAAAUCUUUCGACAGAGAAAGGCAAAGAGAGAGAGAAAAAAAAAUUAGGUAUGCUUGUGAUCAUAGGAUAUUUCAAGACAAUGUAGAUUAUGUGCAAAGUGCAGGCAGGGACUCCAGCAAGACUAGCUAUGACAACAUAACUAAAAGGGAGAGCCAGAAGGUGACAGUCAUGAAGGCUUCCCAGGACAUAAAGUGUCCAACCACUUUACAGUCAGCAAACCUGAGCGACUUGCAAGGGUGGUAAGGUGACAGCAUCCAAACAUCCCAGUACACCAAACACUCUAUGCCCAUGAACGUUCCAGAUCCGCUCCUUUACCCAAGAGAAAAUAUACAUUAAAAGCUUGACUAAACAAAUGUGUUUUCUGCCUGAAAAAGCUCUGCCCCCUGCUGUAGCCUUUGCUUGUGGUACUACCUAAUAGCCUGCAACUUUUGAUCGAAGUAGGUGUGGCAGAUCAUAAAAAACAAAAGAUCGCUCAGGUACUAUGGUGCAAGACCAUUUAGUACUUUUUAGGUCAGUAAUAGUAAUUUAUAAUCAAUGGAAAAUUUGACUGGGAGCCAAUGCAGUGUGCAUAAGGUAGGAGUGAUCAUAUCUUCUGGUUCUAAUUAGGAUUGCUGCAUUUUGGUCUAACUGGAACUUGUUUAUUCUUCUACUGGAACAUCUAGACAGUAAGGCAUUACAGUAAGUCAACCUAGAGCAUGAACAUGCUUUUCUGCAUCAUGAAGUGACCUCAUAUUUCUGAUCUUGUGUGUGUUUGAAACUUGUGUGUGAGUGAAACACGUGCUGAUCAUGUGAGAGGUGUUGUUACUUGCAGUUAGGGCAAAAGAGACAAUUUCCAGAGACAGCUAAAACAAAACAAAAAACCUCCUUAUAUAGUAUGGAAAAGAACAGAAUGUGCAGGUAGCUGUGUGAGUGUGCUAUAAAAAAAGCAUCUGAGAAAGAGAAAGUCCACUCUCCAUGCUCAUUCUUAAUGUGCAUGUGACAGUCAUCAUUCUGCAGAGAAUAAAGUUUUUGUUCUUGCUUGUACUUGACUUCUCUAUUAUUUUAUUUACUAAUCUUAGAUGGGUUUCCACCACAAUUCUAUGGCACCCCAGAUGGGACCUCACAACUGAGCUGUUGGUAGAGUCCAGGGAAGUGCAUCAUGCAACACCUUGAAGGCUUUACUUCAUCUGAAGCACAGAAUUGGCAUUUAGCAUGACAGGACCUGGAUUCACUAUGUUGUUCAAUGCUGAGAUCAUAUAUAUCUAUUUAAGUAUGUAACUGAAUUUAUGUCUGUGAAUUAUAUUCAGUGUAACAAAAUUUAAACUUGGAUUUUGUCACGAGUGCUAUGGGGCCAUUUGAAAUACAGUCGAAUUGAAAUAGUAAUAUUUCCUAUUCAGAUUGUAUAUUUUAGCUAGAUUUUUGGAUAAAAUCUGCCAUUGCAGUUGACGAACUGAAAUUAGGAACCACCGGAGUUAAACCCUAGUUAUAAGGUGAAUAAAAUAUAUUUCUCAGACAUUUUGAAGUAAUAUAAGAGGAAAAACACUGGUACUUGCAACAGAGGUCAGCAUGAUUAAUGGACUCAAUUAUGGACCAAAAUCUGUGAAACAGUAUUUAAUUGUGGGUGAAUGGGGGAGUGUGGCUUUCCAAAGAAGACAGCUGGAAAUAUUAAAAGAAAAAGUUAGAAACAAAGGAAAAGGGACGAAAGUUGAAGAAACUGGUGGAUUGGGCAACCUAUGAAAUGUGCGUGAAUGAAGAACGUAAUAGAGCACGAAAAUCAAAACCUAAAAAUUAUAAUGCCAAACUUGCACAUAACACUUCUUUCCAUUGUCCUAAGUCUGUUAGAUAACAACCUGGAUGGACAUUCCCCAGCCCUGCUGGUUCCACCAACACCGAGCUAUGAAGACAGCAUCGAACCAGAUUACGUGAGACAGCGAGCACUUCACAACAAUUGUCCAAACCCCUACGCCUGUCUCUCAACACAUGUGCCUGCAAACUGCCCUAGGUGACCCAAUACCUGACGAUCCUUCCUUAUCUGAGUUAGAAGGAUAUGACAAUGAAGUUAGCUGUUGCUAGAACAGAAAACAGCAUAUAUGAUCGUAGCUAGAUGGCUGGGAUACAACACAGAUUUAUUAGAGAUACCUAACCUCUCAGUAAAACGUUGUACACCCAUCUUAACCCUGCCUCUCUUCUCCCAGCAGAUGUGGAUGGUGAGCCUCACAAUUGUGUUGAUGUUAACGAAAUUUGUGGUCCUAAGCCAGACCUGAAACCUAAUCUCCUGGAACCAUGAGGUCUCUGAGACCUGAAUCCUCCUGCAGGCACUCCACUCGUGCUCUGUGGUGUUGUCAUCAUUUUCAACUCUCUUCCAUGGCAGUUGAAUUCUCCUACUUCCUGGAUCUUCCUUAGCAUCCAUUAGUUCCCUCUCUUAUUGUGCAUAGGGCUCUUAUUUACGAUGCGUCCACUCAAACCAUGCCAAUACCUGUUAUUUCCAACUCCCAGUCUACUCAAGCUACUCAAACUCUUCUUCCUCCCCAUGGUUCACUUGGCCCCACCAAUGAUCUCCUUCUUGAGUCACCCAUCUCCUACCAUUCUCCAUUCUCACUCUCCAACCUCUCCUGUACUUCUCUCAACCUCAUCUGAUCGUCCUUGAUGUGAAUAUUCUCUCUGUGCAAAGUACUGAGUCCUUAUUAUUUGAUAACUCAUAUCUGUUUUACUUUUCAUAAUAAACUACUUAUUUUCCUACACUCUCUUCAAUCAUGGU